UACAAUGUCCGUAUUUCAAUGAAAACCAGC
rnacentral:piRNA from 1 species